AGCAGCCGCGGUAAUUCCAGCUCCAAUAGCGUAUAUUAAAGUUGUUGCAGUUAAAAAGCUCGUAGUUGAAUUUCGGGAUUAGUGCGCCGGUCGUGCCUUCGGUAUGUACUGGUGUUACUGGUUCCUACCUUCUGACGAACCGUCAUGUCAUUAAUUUGGUGUGGCGGGAAAUCAGGACUGUUACUUUGAAAAAUUAGAGUGUUUAAAGCAGGCUCGCGCUUGAAUACAUUAGCAUGGAAUAAUGAAAUAGGACGUUCGAUCCUAUUUUGUUGGUUUCUAGGAUUGACGUAAUGAUUAAUAGGGAUAGUUGGGGGCAUUAGUAUUCAAUUGUCAGAGGUGAAAUUCUUGGAUUUAUUGAAGACUAACUACUGCGAAAGCAUUUGCCAAGGAUGUUUUCAUUAAUCAAGAACGAAAGUUAGGGGAUCGAAGACGAUCAGAUACCGUCGUAGUCUUAACCAUAAACUAUGCCGACUAGGGAUCGGAUGAUGUUAUUUUUAAUGAC
rnacentral:sRNA from 1 species